rnacentral:rRNA from 1 species
UACGUAGGGUGCGAGCGUUGUCCGGAAUUAUUGGGCGUAAAGAGCUCGUAGGCGGUUUGUCGCGUCGGCCGUGAAAACUUGGGGCUUAACUCCAAGCUUGCGGUCGAUACGGGCAGACUUGAGUUCGGCAGGGGAGACUGGAAUCCCUGGUGUAGCGGUGAAAUGCGCAGAUAUCAGGAGGAACACCGGUGGCGAAGGCGGCAUUCUGGACCGAUAUUGACGCUGAGGAGCGAAAGCCAGGGGAGCAAACGGG